CUGCGAGACCUGCUCCAAGCCUUGGCUGGUGGGCUGGUGGGACCAGUUCAAGAGGAUGUUGAACCGUGAGCUCACACACCUGUCAGAAAUGAGCAGGUCCGGAAACCAGGUCUCAGAGUACAUUUCCACAACAUUCCUGGACAAACAGAAUGAAGUGGAGAUCCCAUCACCCACGAUGAAGGAACGAGAAAAACAGCAAGCACCGCGACCAAGACCCUCCCAGCCACCCCCACCCCCUGUACCACACUUACAGCCCAUGUCCCAAAUCACAGGGGUGAAAAAGUUGAUGCAUAGUAACAGCCUGAACAACUCUAACAUUCCCCGAUUUGGGGUGAAGACUGAUCAAGAAGAGCUCCUGGCCCAAGAACUGGAGAACCUGAACAAGUGGGGCCUGAACAUCUUUUGCGUGUCGGAUUAUGCCGGAGGCCGCUCGCUCACCUGCAUCAUGUACAUGAUAUUCCAGGUGAUGGGGACAGCCGGGAGUGGGCCCAGGUGAGGGGCUCAGAGCGGGGCGCUGGGGGCUGGCGGAGGUCACCAACCUGCCCCUGCCUGCUCUCAGGAGCGGGACCUGCUGAAGAAAUUCCGCAUCCCUGUGGACACGAUGGUGACAUACAUGCUGACGCUGGAGGAUCACUACCACAUGGAUGUGGCCUACCAUAACAGCCUGCACGCAGCUGACGUGCUGCAGUCCACCC
rnacentral:sRNA from 1 species